GCGGGUGUCGUAUAAUGGCUAUUACCUCGGCCUUCCAAGCCGAAGACGUGGGUUCGAUUCCCAUCACCCGCUCCA
rnacentral:tRNA from 3 species